GGAUGUGUACACCAUCUAUCCGGGACAUCUGUCACUGUGCUGAAUCCCCAAGACUGAUAAAGCUGACCUGGCUGGUUAGGUGGUUGUCCCCUUCCUCACUAAUCCAUGUGGGAUGCUCCCUAAGUUUUAUGGCAGUCACAGGUAGAGAAAGGCCACUGCCCAGCCAUGGAUACCUACAGCCAUCCACAGAGAGACUGCUCUGGCUUGGUUUGUCUGCUGAGAAACUAAUAUAGUGAACUGAAAGAAAAUGAUCUUUUAUGUUUUUGAAGAAGGAGUUUAAGUGACAGCUUUUUGUUCUUC
rnacentral:snRNA from 1 species